AGCCGGUUAGCUCAGUUGGUAGGGCACUCGCUUAGUAAGCGAGGGGUCCUGGGUUCGAGCCCUAGACUAACUG